GAACUCCCGAGGUUGUCAUGGAAACCAUCGCUUCAGAGAAAGGAGUGUUGGAAGAGGAAGGGCCGGAUCGAGGAACGGGAAUGCAGACGCGCUGUCCCGACGCGACCAAGACGGUGCGUCUGGCGCCCGACCCUCCGGUCCGGUCCUGAGGGGGGAGGUAUGUGGAAGGACCACCAGAGGGCAGGCUGGGCUCACGGAUAGUAGCCCAACAAGGCAUGUGAGACAAGGUAACCAGAGGCAAUUAAGCACAGCUGAUGGUACUAAUGACCUAUUAUCUUUUCCCUACAAGAGAGAGGAGGGAACCAGCAAGAAGGGGGGAAGAUAACUAGCUCUGGAGAAGGGCGACCAGGAGAGAGGAGCUAUCCAAGAAGAUCCAUUAAGACGGUGACAAAUCUGUGAUAGUUGUUAUAGCUUAAAGAUAAUCGUCUUGUGAUCCUGUGUGAUCUAAAGAAGAAGAUGUAUGUUGUUUCUUGGGAGAUUCUCAAUGACUGUGUUGGAGUGUU
rnacentral:lncRNA from 1 species